rnacentral:tRNA from 1 species
GGUUCGGUAGCUCAGUUGGUUAGAGCGAUGGAUUCAUAACCCAUAGGUCGGUGGUUCAAAUCCACCCCGAACCACUA